AUUGAACGCUGGCGGCAGGCUUAACACAUGCAAGUCGAGCGGAGAUGAGGUGCUUGCACCUUAUCUUAGCGGCGGACGGGUGAGUAAUGCUUAGGAAUCUGCCUAUUAGUGGGGGACAACAUUCCGAAAGGGAUGCUAAUACCGCAUACGUCCUACGGGAGAAAGCAGGGGAUCUUCGGACCUUGCGCUAAUAGAUGAGCCUAAGUCGGAUUAGCUAGUUGGUGGGGUAAAGGCCUACCAAGGCGACGAUCUGUAGCGGGUCUGAGAGGAUGAUCCGCCACACUGGGACUGAGACACGGCCCAGACUCCUACGGGAGGCAGCAGCGGGGAAUAUUGGACAAUGGGCGCAAGCCUGAUCCAGCCAUGCCGCGUGUGUGAAGAAGGCCUUAUGGUUGUAAAGCACUUUAAGCGAGGAGGAGGCUACUUUAGAUAAUACCUAGAGAUAGUGGACGUUACUCGCAGAAUAAGCACCGGCUAACUCUGUGCCAGCAGCCGCCGCAGUAA
rnacentral:rRNA from 1 species